GACGAACGCUGGCGGCGUGCUUAACACAUGCAAGUCGAGCGGAGCGGCGGACGGGUGAGUAACGCGUGAGUAACUGCCCCCCUCCCUGGGAUAACAGUUGGAAACGGCUACUAAUACCAGAUAGUGGGGGAUGAUUCGCGUCCUAUCGGCUUGUUGGUUGGUUAGUGGCCUACCACGGCGACGACGGGUAGCCGGCCUGGGAGGGCGACCGGCCACGUUGGGCUGAGAUACGGCCCAAACGCCUACGGGAGGCAGCAGUGGGGAAUAUUGCACACUGGGGGAAACCCUGAUGCAGCAACGCGCGGGCGGGAUGACGGUCUUCGUGUUGUAAACCGCUUUCAGCCACGACGCGGUAGUGGCAGAAGAAGCACCGGCUAACUACGUGCCAGCAGCCGCGGUAAUAC
rnacentral:rRNA from 1 species